UCAUAUAUACUAAGAGGCUUGUAUGAACACAAAAGCAAUAGUUUUAUAGUUUAGAGGACUGAUCACAUACAAUAUCGGUGGUUCAAAAGUGACAGAAUAGUGACAGAAUGAUAGUACUUGCUAAUAUAAACCACCAACUGAUUCAGAAAGUACAGCACCACACAUGAUAUGUCAAGAACAAACAACAAGAGCAGUGUGCGGAACGACCCGUCAAUGAUGUGCAACGUCCUAAUCCAUGGAAUGACCCGUCAAUGAUGUGCAACAUCCUAAUCCAUGAGAGCCAUCUCUCCUCCAAUAACGCCUGAUGCUAGAUGAGUCCCCGAAGAGGCCCCCGCUGAGCAAUGGAAAUGAACGGCUUCUGACAAGGCAAGAACACAAAACAUGAAUAUAGGAAGAGGCAGAAGCAAGGAGAGGAGAGGGACCAAACGACGGGGGCACUUACCUUUUACCUGCUAAUCACCAUAUCAUUCGUCAUCGUCACCUCCCACGCCUCGCCCGCCACUGCUCAUCAACGCCGCACUGCCAUAUUCAUGUUGGUACUUUAAUAAAAGUGAAUUUUAUCCAUACAGGGUUUUGUGCUUCUGCUGCUAGAAUGCAUCUACGAAGUCCCUAUAUAGUAUAUGUGAUCAAAUUUACUCCUCUCUGAUGUCUAUAAUUACCAUCUACUCCCUAUGUUCCUAAAUCUCUUAGAUUCUUACAUGAACAUGAUACUAUACUGACAUUUGGUGUAAGUGGUAUUUUUUAGAAUGACGAGAUGGUCCUCACGCCCCGACAUCGAUCUAUUCUGGCUUCCCGCCUCAUGCUCUGCAUGGAUCUAUGUCUGUCUUCCUUUCUCCUACUAUUCCUGCUUUAAGCCGUUGUCGCUACCGCCAGGCCCACAUCAAUCAGUCGCCACCAUCUCUAGGGUUUCGCAUAGAAAUGGAGCAGAGCGGAUGGGUGGAGCGGUGGCCAAGGGAAGGAAAUGGGGUGAGGCAGGGCGGCAAGCAAGAAAAAUCAAGUGUAUUUUAGUUCAGAGAUAUAUAGGUGAUCUUGUUCAGUUUAGUCAGUCACAUACUAAACAGUAGUUCACUAAGGUGAGGAUUUUGCAUUAGGUACAACUACCUAUGUAAAACAUCCAGAACCUCAACCCAC
rnacentral:lncRNA from 1 species